rnacentral:rRNA from 1 species
UACGUAGGGGGCUAGCGUUGUCCGGAAUCAUUGGGCGUAAAGAGCGUGUAGGCGGCCCGGUAAGUCCGCUGUGAAAGUCGGGGGCUCAACCCUCGGAUGCCGGUGGAUACUGUCGGGCUCGAGUACGGAAGAGGCGAGUGGAAUUCCUGGUGUAGCGGUGAAAUGCGCAGAUAUCAGGAGGAACACCAAUAGCGAAGGCAGCUCGCUGGGACGUUACUGACACUAAGGCGCGAAAGCGUGGGGAGCGAACAGG